CCAGCUUGCAUAUAACUUUUUUCCCUUUCUGACCCUUGAACAGCACCAAGAACACAGCAGGCCAGGGUAUCCAGCUGAGUAAGUGGCAGCUAGGAACAGAGGUCAGGAACACAGAGGGGGCUUUGUGAAAAAUAUCCAGCAUUCUGCUAUUUCAAUAACCCUGUCCUGAGCAGUGAGGCCCACAUGCAGUACAGGAGGAAGGGGGAGGUUUGAGAGGGAAAAAUGAGCUCACCCGAGCUCCCAAUGGCAGAGGCCAAGCAGCCAUUGCCUUCUCCUUC
rnacentral:lncRNA from 1 species